GGGUAAAUGAAAGUGUUUUGUUGAAUAAUUAAAAGAGUCUUUGAUGGUUUAUUUUUUAUGUAAAGUUAGUAGUGAAAUCUGGAGUUUAAGUUAUAAAAGAUAAAUUUGAAUAAGAUAUUUUGAGGUUAUGAAAAUAAAGAUAUAAAAUAGGAUUAGAUACCCUACUAUACUUUAUAGAAAAUUUAUACACAGAGGUAGUAGUAGAUAUGGUCUUGAAAUCUAAAAAAUUUGGCGGUAUCUAAGUCUAGUUAGAGGAACCUGUUAUGUAAGCGAUAAUCCACGGAUAUCUAUCCUCAUUUUGUAAUUUUCAGUAUGUAUACCGCCAUUAUUAGGUAGUUUUAAAAGAUAUUUACUAAAAUAAGAUUAAUCUUAGUAUAUUAGGUCAAGGUGCAGCUAAUAGUGAGGGAUUCAAUGGGUUACAUUAAUAUAAAAUUAUACGGAAAGGUAAAGGCAGUUUUUCCUAGAAGGAGGAUUUAAUUGUAAUAAAUGUAUAUUGUGCAUUUUUGAUAAAAGCUCUUAGAUAUGUACAUAUCGCCCGUCGUUCUCAUUAA
rnacentral:rRNA from 1 species